rnacentral:rRNA from 1 species
GGGGGGGGGGGGGGGGGGGGGGGGGGGGUGGGAGGGGGGGGGGGGGGGCGUGCUGGGGGGGGGUGGUCGGGUGUCGCCGGGGGGGGUGCCACGUGAGUCGCGUGCGCUUGACUUUGGGCUCCGUUCCGGAAGCUGGGGCUGGUGCCGUCGAGGCGCGCCUGCUUCCUUGUUUGGGUUGUAAGUUUUCGGCGGUUUGGGAUUGACUCGCGGCGUAUCAGCUUGUUGGUUUGGUCGUGGCUUCCCAAGGCGUUGACGGGUAGCCGGCCGGAGAGGGGGACCGGCCACAUUGGGACUGAGAGACGGCCCAGACUCCUACGGGAGGCAGCAGUGGGGAAUAUUGCACAAUGGGCGGAAGCCUGAUGCAGCAACGCCGCGUGCGGGAUGACGGCCUUCGGGUUGUAAACCGCUUUCGCCUGUGACGAAGCGUGAGUGACGGUAAUGGGUAAAGAAGCACCGGCUAACUACGUG